AUCUCCUGAGAAUUCUGUUAAAAUGCAGGUUCUGCUUCAGUAGGUCUAGGAUGGGGUCUGAGAUUCUGCAUUUCUAACAGACUCUCAGUUGAUGGUUC
rnacentral:pre_miRNA from 1 species